UACGGGAGGCAGCAGUGGGGAAUAUUGGACAAUGGGCGCAAGCCUGAUCCAGCCAUACCGCGUGGGUGAAGAAGGCCUUCGGGUUGUAAAGCCCUUUUGUUGGGAAAGAAAUCCAGCUGGCUAAUACCCGGUUGGGAUGACGGUACCCAAAGAAUAAGCACCGGCUAACUUCGUGCCAGCAGCCGCGGUAAU
rnacentral:rRNA from 1 species